AGUGGGGUCUUGCAAAUGUUAGCUCCAUCCCUCUUCCUUGUGUCAGCAAUCCAAAUAUGUGCCAUUCCACUUGCUGGCAAUGACACAUCCUAGUCUAGUGUCAUGUGAAAGUCGAGGCUCCACACUCCACAUACUAUCAUGAUGUCAAGAAAAGGAUAGGCUUCAAUUUUAUCUUCAGAAUGACGAAUUUUCAUCACUGUAUUUCUGCAGCCAAUAAACGUUGCUGAGGAUUACUCUAAAGGUGAAUCAUUCGCCAAUCCUGUCUUUAUAAGUGGGACAGGAAUAGAUUCUGCUUGGGGUGGCUUUUCAAAAUACUCUACUAAGCACUAUUACUAUCAAUGGCCACAUUUUAAAGAUAAUGUUUCCUCCAUUUUCAUUUCAAUAAAAAUUAGAGAACAAUGGCCGUUGUAGACUAGUCUAGGAACUCUAGAAUUGCACGUUGGUGCUCUACUCAAUUGCAAUGGAAUAGAACUAGCAAGAAUAUAAGCAGAUAAUCAGAAGCAACAUAUAUAAGAUGCCAGCGCUGAAGAAUUAGAAUACAGACGAAGUCGACCAAAGAGAUGAAGGUUUUUUUUAAUUACUCUAGCAGCUCAUAAAGUUGUUUUAUUGGUACAUAUUAAAUAAGUUAGCCGUUGAAAAAGUAAGUCGAGUAUUAGGUAAACCUGUCAACCGGGCCGGGUUGACCCGGGACCGGACCGGCAAAAACCGGAACCGGACCGGACGGUUAGCAAGGACCGGGCUCGGCUGGGUCAUAGGGGGUAGGGGUUGGUCCGUUAGGAUUUUUUGGUAUCGGAACCGAACCGGACCGGUCCGGUAUAGUCAACAGUACCGCGAACCGGUAUGGACCGGCCCGGUUCAACGGUAAAAUUUAUUUUUUUUAUUUUUUUAUUUUUGAAUAUGUGGGGCCCACAUUACCGUUGGCCAACGGACAAUUUUUCAAAAAUG
rnacentral:lncRNA from 1 species